GAUGAACGCUGGCGGCGUGCUUAACACAUGCAAGUCGAACGAAAAGUGAAGACGGAAACCUUCGUGCGGAAGGCUGUGUUUCGAUUAGCAGACGGGUGAGUAACGCGUGGUUAACCUGCCUCAUACAGGGGGAUAACAGUUGGAAACGACUGUUAAUACCGCAUAAGACGACAGCACCGCAUGGUGCGGGGUUGAAAACUCCGAUGGUAUGAGAUGGACGCGCUUUCGAUUAGACAGUUGGCGGGGUAACGGCACACCAAAGCGACUAGCGGUAGCCGAGCUGUGAGGAUGACUGGACACACUGACACUGAGCCGCGGUACAGACUCUUCCGGGAUGCAGCAGUGGCGGACAUUGCAACGUGGCGGAAGUGAUGAUGGACCGACGCCGCGAGAGCGCAGAUGUAUUUCGGUAUGUAAAGCGUUAUCAGCAGGGCAGAACAUGACGGUACCUGAGCAAGAAGCCCCGGCUAACUACGUG
rnacentral:rRNA from 1 species